UACGGAGGGAGCUAGCGUUGUUCGGAAUUACUGGGCGUAAAGAGCGUGUAGGCGGCCAUGUAGGUCCGUUGUGAAAACUCGAGGCUCAACCUCGAGACGCCGAUGGAAACCAUGUGGCUAGAGUCCGGAAGAGGAGAGUGGAAUUCCUGGUGUAGCGGUGAAAUGCGCAGAUAUCAGGAAGAACACCCGUGGCUAAGGCGGCUCUCUAGUACGGUACUGACGCUGAUAUACGAAAGCGUGGGGAGCAAACAGG
rnacentral:rRNA from 1 species